UGUGUUGUGAUUUUGUGAUACCCUCGUCUCUCGUCCGUGAUUAAACCUGUCCAAGGGAAACCGCGAAUGAAUAUCCUUCUUCAAGGACGCGAGGAAAUUGCCACAAUGAAAACCGGAAGCGCGGCGUGAUAUUCCGCGUCUCGGCGUCAUUCGGGGGUGUUGAUAACAAGGUGAAGUCGAAGUGGAAGGAGGAGGGCGGGGAAGGAAGCGCGUGGGGCGUUCCGGAACCGGAAAUGGCCACAAGGCUGCUUCUGUUGGCGGUCUUCGUCGCCUCUGCCAGUGCCCUUCCUGAUUUCAUUAGGAUAGGUGGGUUGUUUCAUCCGGUGGACGACAAGCAGGAGGUCGCUUUUCGUUACGCCGUGGAAAAGAUAAACGCGAACAGGGAAAUCCUGCCGCGUCCUCGUCUCAGCGCUCAGAUUGAACAGAUUUCACCGCAGGACAGUUUUCACGCUUCUAAACGCGUCUGUCAUCUCCUGAAGAACGGAGUCGCCGCGAUAUUCGGACCCCAAAGUCCCCACACGGCGUCCCACGUUCAGAGCAUAUGCGACACUAUGGAAAUUCCGCAUCUCGAAACCCGAUGGGAUUAUCGGUUGCGACGAGAAAGUUGCCUCGUUAAUCUUUACCCCCAUCCAACCACCCUCUCAAAGGCGUACGUCGAUCUCGUAAAGGCAUGGGGAUGGAAAAGCUUCACGAUCAUAUACGAAAACAACGAGGGACUUGUCAGGUUACAGGAACUCCUCAAGGCCCACGGACCCAGCGAAUUUCCGAUCGCCGUUCGGCAGCUUGGCGAAGGCCUGGAUUACAGACCGCUUCUAAAGCAGAUCAAGAACUCGGCCGAGUCUCACAUAGUCCUUGACUGUUCUACGGACAGGAUAUACGAGGUCCUGAAGCAGGCGCAGCAGAUAGGGAUGAUGAGCGACUACCACAGCUAUCUUAUAACUUCUCUGGACCUGCAUAGCGUUGACCUGGAAGAAUUCAAGUAUGGCGGUACCAAUAUUACUGCCUUCCGAUUGGUUGACCCGGAAAAGCCGGAGCUUCAGAAGGUCGUCCGUGAUUGGAUCUACGGCGAGCAGCGCUAUGGCCGAAAGCUCGACAUGGGCCAAAACACUAAUAAGGACAACCUGACAUUCAUAAAGACGGAAACCGCGCUGAUGUACGACGCCGUUCACCUUUUUGCUAAGGCUCUCCACGACCUUGACACCUCCCAGCAAAUCGACAUAAAGCCUCUGUCAUGUGAGUCGGUCGAUACUUGGCCGCACGGUUACUCGCUGAUUAAUUACAUGAAGAUCGUCGAGAUGCGCGGUCUGACUGGAGUCAUCAAGUUCGAUCAUCAGGGCUUCAGGUCCGAUUUUGUCCUCGAUAUCAUCGAGCUCAACAGCAAAGAGGGUCUGAAAAAAAUCGGCACGUGGAACAGUACCGAAGGUGUAAACUUCACAAGGACCUACGGUGACGUCUAUACUCAGAUCGUGGAAAGCCUGCAGAACAAAACCUUCGUCGUGACAACGAUAUUGAGUUCUCCAUACUGCAUGAGGAAGGAUUCCAGCGAAAAGUUAACCGGAAACGCGCAGUUCGAGGGGUACGGUAUCGACUUGAUACACGAGAUAUCUCGUAUACUCGGAUUCAAUUACACCUUUAGACUGGUUCCCGACGGACGGUACGGCUCUCUGAAUAGAGAAACGAAGGAGUGGGACGGGAUGAUGAAGGAGCUUCUCGACCAGAAGGCCGAUCUCGCUAUUGCCGAUUUGACAAUUACCUACGACCGCGAACAGGCGGUUGACUUCACAAUGCCUUUCAUGAACCUCGGAAUAAGUAUACUCUACCGAAAGCCGAUCAAGCAGCCACCAAACCUGUUCUCGUUUCUGAGUCCGUUGAGUCUUGACGUGUGGAUUUACAUGGCAACAGCUUACCUCGGAGUGUCGGUGCUGCUUUUCAUACUAGCCAGGUUCAGCCCUUACGAGUGGGAGAAUCCGCACCCCUGCAACGCGCAAUCCGAGGUCCUCGAGAACGAGUUCACGCUCCUGAACUCGCUCUGGUUCACCAUCGGCUCGCUCAUGCAGCAAGGCUCUGAUAUAGCUCCAAAGGCAGUAUCGACGCGAAUGGUUGCUGGGAUGUGGUGGUUCUUCACGUUAAUUAUGAUAUCAUCGUACACGGCGAAUCUGGCCGCUUUCCUGACAGUAGAACGAAUGGAUUCACCGAUCGAAAGUGCCGAGGACUUAGCCAAGCAGACGAAAAUCAAAUACGGUGCUCUGAGGGGCGGAAGCACGGCUGCCUUCUUCAGGGAUUCGAACUUCUCGACUUACCAGAGGAUGUGGUCCUUCAUGGAAUCCGCUAGACCGACGGUCUUCACGACGAGCAACGUCGAGGGCGUGGACAGGGUGGUCAAGGGUAAGGGUGGCUACGCAUUCCUGAUGGAAUCCACUUCGAUCGAGUACGUAAUCGAGAGGAAUUGCGAGCUGACGCAAGUUGGCGGUCUGCUGGACUCCAAGGGAUAUGGAAUCGCGAUGCCGCCAAAUUCACCGUACAGAACAGCGAUAAGCGGAGCCGUCCUCAAACUUCAAGAGGAGGGCAAACUACACAUACUCAAGACCAGGUGGUGGAAGGAAAAACGUGGCGGCGGAUCUUGCAGGGACGACACGUCCAAGAGCAGUUCGGCGGCUAACGAACUUGGCCUGGCGAACGUCGGUGGAGUAUUCGUCGUCCUUAUGGGGGGCAUGGGGGUCGCCUGCGUGAUAGCGGUCUGCGAGUUCGUAUGGAAGAGCCGGAAGGUCGCCGUCGAGGAACGGGUGAGUGAGGUCAGAUAACACGAAGAGGGCGAGGUCAAGGGGCACGAGAAACCGGAAACGCACCUCGACCCGGACGCCAUUUACCCACUCGACAUACCCAGGGAGUACAUCAGUUGAUGUUCGCUCGAUGGUGGAGUUCCUCUUUAAUGAAGCAGAAAUCAUCCGGCAAGCCUAUCUGCGAAGGUUUCACUGAUCUCCACUAGCUGCAUGUCGGGCGAUAUCUACACUUCGAAAACAGACUCCAAAACGAUCCAAAACGAGAUUGACACGUUGAAUAAUGACACAACGAGAUAAGAGGAGAUAACGAAAUUGAGGGAAAGAGGGCUAAGAAAAUUGGCGAAGAAUUGACGAAAGUGCGAGAGACGGCGAUUGUUUGACGCGUUUAUACUCGUUUCACGAUAAAGACGUGAUUGUGAGAUUAACGCGGACCUAAAUGAAGAAGAACUCCAUCGAAUCACUACGACGAUGAUAAUUUAUAAGCAGAAACUGAAAGCUACGACCUAACACUUGACCUCUCCACAAUUUCACAUUUCAUUUAAAAUCAAGCUUACGCGUUUGUUGUAGAAACAAUGAAAUCAAUUUUUUUUUUUUUUUUUGUUCAUUGUUUAUCAAAGUUUCUUGAACUGUAAUAUGUGCGAUGAAAGAAGACAAUAUAAUUUAUUCUAUUAUUUUCUUGCCUAAUUUUUCUUACGAUUCUCAACCGGUAAUAAGAACUUAGGAGGUCAAAUACAUCUGUCAUUUGCUCAUAUCAAGUCCUUGAAUAAUUUAUAAAUAAAUGACGAAGAAAUUUUCACUCGGGAAUCAACGGCUUGAAAAAAGUGCUGUGACGUGAUGUGAAGGGACUGAAAUUUGAAAUUGAAUCGAAUAAAAAAAAAAAAAAUAAAUGAAAACAAAUUGAAGGAUACAGUAAUAACGAUAAUAACGGUUGAAGAGAAUCGAAACCGUUGAUCCCUUGAAUGCGCAGAAUAGAUUAUACGCUGUGCAGAAAAUGUGACGAAUUCCCAGCCAAAGAUGAAAAACACCCGUGUAUAAUGUACAUGAUUAAAAUCGGACAAUUUUAUACUGAAAAAUAUAGAUAAUUCACGUACCUAUAAUAUAUUGAUAGUCGUAGAUAGAGUUAUACGAUUAUUGUAAAUAUCAUUAUAAAGAGGGGAUGAAAAAAGAGGUUAAGCGUAUGAUUAAAGCUCGCCAAUAAUUUUUUCUCAAACUCAAUGCGGAGUCUGUAGAUUUGAUUUUCGGAUAAAAAAUUGAAAUUCUAAACUUGAAAAGUUCCGAAAGCACCAAAUACUGAUUAUCUCGUUGUCAGUGGCGAUACUUAAAGUAAAGAAAUAAAACUCUGACGAAAUGUCAAAGGUUCGAAUGAUCCUAAUCCCGAAGCUCAAAGUUCUGAAUGUUGUUUUCGAUUUUCGAUAUUUUUACAUUCGGAAUCCUGGUCAUUUUGAAUUUCAGCCUUUCCGAUUUUUCAUACCCGCCCGUUGUUUCCGACCAAUCCAAGCUUUGUCGUUUCAUAAAAGUUCGAUUUCUUUACCUCAAGUUUUGCCCCCAAAUAUUUCGGAGUUAGGGGCUUUCGGAAUUUUUCAAAUUCAGAACUUCAACCCCGCCCCGAAAUUUUUUUUUCGAGUUUUUGCGGUAAAAAUUUGUAGAUGACCCUUUUUUCGAAUUUAUUCGAGACAUCAAUGUGUACAUAACAACAAUUUAGCCGCACAGUAUAUGAAACGAGAUUCUAUUUCAAUCGUGUAAAUUAUAGAAAUGAUAUAUUAUACAGUACGUUUUAUUCCUUCUCAAUUAUAAUCAAAAAAACGCUCUUCACAUGCUUAAAAUUAUACGAAAUGCAAAGUACCUGUCCGGUGAAAGCGAAUCGAUAAUUAUUCUGUAUAAUAUCUCGUCCAUAACUGUGAUCAGACGAAUUACGUGUAUAAAUAAUAAGAAAUAUUAAGAAACUCAGUUAAAAUAAAUACGUCUUAUAAUAAAUAUAAUAAAUAAGAUUGUAUUUAUUGUUAUUAUUCCUACCAUUAUAAACAUAUAAAUAAUGAUUUUACGAAACUGGGUAAGUGAAAUGCGCUGCAGGGUAGAAAACGGAAAUUUUUGUACAUAAGUUUUGAAUUCCCGCUGAAUGUUAUCUGUAUAUUAAUGAUAAUUUCAUUUUGAAUGGUAGUUUUUCUAGACCUGGAAUAUAAUAUAGACAUUUCAAAGUCAAAUCAAGACAGAACCUGCUUUUAAGAACAAAAAAAAAAAGCAUAAAAACAAAUUCUACGGACUCCGUGUUGUAGUUCGAUUGAUUUCUGAAUUAGAGCAAAGUUUAAUUUAUCGGUGUGUCUACUAAGGUCGUUUGCUUUUUGUUAAUCUAAUUUCAAUUUUCAUCUACUGCGUAUUGAGAACGAAGUUGUAUAAACGAACUAGGUAAAAUAAACGGAAAGAUAUAAUUAUAAUAGAAUAAAUUUACUCGUUUAAGAAUUACAGACUCUAUAAAUUAUUAAUAAUAUAAUGUACACUUAGGAAUAAUUAGUUUAAUUCUUGACUAGUAUGCAAUUAUCUAUAAACAACAAACAAAUUCAUCACGACCGUGUGUUUCUACUGAAAAGGAUAAUAAUUAUAAACACGAUUAAAGAAACACGCGAUAAUUGCAGAUCCUUGAUAUAUUAUAUUGACUAUUAAGUCUCGACAAUUGUAAGCUACAAAAUAUUGAUAUAAAGAAAAGAAGAAAAAAAAAAAAAAAAAAAACAAACAAGAAACCAUUU
rnacentral:misc_RNA from 1 species